rnacentral:rRNA from 1 species
GACGAACGCUGGCGGCGUGCUUAACACAUGCAAGUCGAACGGAAAGGCCCUGCUUGCCGGGUACUCGAGUGGCGAACGGGUGAGUAACACGUGGGUGAUCUGCCCUGCACUUCGGGAUAAGCCUGGGAAACUGGGUCUAAUACCGGAUAGGAGCCAUUUUUAGUGUGAUGGUUGGAAAGUUUUUUCGGUGUAGGAUGAGCUCGCGGCCUAUCAGCUUGUUGGUGGGGUAAUGGCCUACCAAGGCGGCGACGGGUAGCCGGCCUGAGAGGGGGGACGGCCACAUUGGGACUGAGAUACGGCCCAGACUCCUACGGGAGGCAGCAGCGGGGAAUAUUGCACAAUGGGCGCAAGCCUGAUGCAGCGACGCCGCGUGGGGGAUGACGGCCUUCUGGUUGUAAACUCCUUUCGCUAGGGACGAAGCUUUGUGUGACGGUACCUAGAUAAGAAGCACCGGCUAACUACGUG